rnacentral:rRNA from 1 species
ACUAAGUUGGUGGUAAACUCCAUCUAAAACUAAAUAUAACCAUGAGACCGAUAGUAAACAAGUACCGUGAGGGAAAGUUGAAAAGAACUCUGAAUAGAGAGUUAAAUAGUACGUGAAACUGCUUAGGGGUUAAGCCCGAUGAACCUGAAUAUCCAAUUAUGGAAAAUUCAACAUUAAUAUUUAUAAAUUUUAUAUUUAUAAAGAAUGGUGUGCACUUUUUCUAUAUUAAGGACAUUGUAAUCUAUUAACAUAUACAUAUUAUAUUUAUCAGAAGAUCAUAUUGCUUUUAAAGUUUAUUCAAAUUAAUUUAUUUAUUUAAAUUAACAUAAAAUAAAUGCAUAAUGAUUUGAUAAAGUGUUGAUAGAAUUUAAUAAUAUAUAGUGCUUAUUAAAUUUAUUUAAUUAAAGGAUAUUAUAUAUUAUAUAUGAUAUUUUUUAUGCACUAAUAUGAUUAACAAUGCGAAAGAUUCAGGAUACCUUCGGGAC